GACGAACGCUGGCGGCGUGGAUUAGGCAUGCAAGUCGAACGGUAGGAUACCUUCGGGUAUCUGAGAGUGGCGAACGGGUGAGUAACACGUAGGUGAUCUACCCUCAAGAUUGGGACAACCCAGGGAAACUUGGGCUAAUACCGGAUGAAAGCAGCAGUGAUGUUGUUUGAAAGGUGGCGUAAGCUGCCGUUUGGGGAUGAGCCUGCGCUCUAUUAGUUAGUUGGCGGGGUAAAGGCCCACCAAGGCGAUGAUAGAUAGGCGGCCUUAACGGGUGGUCGCCCACACUGGGAUUGAGAUACGGCCCAGACUCCUACGGGAGGCAGCAGUCGAGAAUAGUCUACAAUGGCCGAAAGGCUGAUAGUGCGACGCCGCGUGAACGAAGAAGCCCUUCGGGUGUAAGUUCUUUUAUAUGUGAGCAGUGCUUUCUAUGUGAACAGCAUGGGGAGAGAGAUAUUAGCAUAUGAAUAAGCAACGGCUAACUCCGUGCCAGC
rnacentral:rRNA from 1 species